rnacentral:rRNA from 1 species
GCGCGAAAACUUUACAAUGCGGGCAACCGUGAUAAGGGAACCUCGAGUGCCUGUAUAUGCAGGCUGUCUGGGUGUCUAAAACACACCUAAAGAAAGGGCCGGGCAAGACCGGUGCCAGCCGCCGCGGUAAUACCGGCGGCUCGAGUGGUGGCCACUUUUAUUGGGCUUAAAGCGUUCGUAGCUGGGUUAUUAAGUCCCUUGGGAAAUCCGACGGCUUAACCGUCGGGCGUCUAAGGGAUACUGGCAAUCUUGGAACCGGGAGAGGUGAGGGGUACUUCGGGGGUAGGAGUGAAAUCCUGUAAUCCUCGAGGGACCACCUGUGGCGAAGGCGCCUCACCAGAACGGCUUCGACAGUGAGGGACGAAAGCUGGGGGAGCAAACCGGAUUAGAUACCCGGGUAGUCCCAGCCGUAAACGAUGUGCGUUAGGUGUAUCGGUGACCACGAGUCACCGAGGUGCCGAAGGGAAACCGUGAAACGUACCGCCUGGGAAGUACGGUCGCAAGGCUGAAACUUAAAGGAAUUGGCGGGGGAGCACCACAACAGGUGGAGCCUGCGGUUUAAUUGGACUCAACGCCGGAAAUCUCACCGGAUAAGACAGCUGAAUGAUUGUCGGGCUGAAGACUCUACAUGACUAGCU